rnacentral:rRNA from 1 species
AUGGAUAUUGUCACGGGUGCCAUUGCCAAGCUGAUCCCCAAGCUGGCCGACCUACUUGUGGGGGUGUACAAGCUGCACAAGAACGUCAAGAAAAAUAUCGAGGACCUCCUGAAGGAGCUUGAGAGCAUGAACGUUGCCCUCGUCAAGAUUGGUGAGGUGCCGCGGGACCAGCUCGACAAACAAGACAAGCUCUGGGCCGAUGAGGUCAGAGAGCUAUCCUACAUCAUUGAGGAUGUCAUCGAUAAGUUCCUCGUACGAGUCAACCACAUUCAGCCAGACGACACCACAAACAAAUUCAAGCGGCUCAUGAAGAGGACGACCAAGUUGCUGAAGAAAGUCAAGGAUAAGUAUGGGAUAGCUCACGCAAUCAAGGACAUCCAGGAGCAACUCCAGAAGGUGGCCGCUAGGCGUGACAGGAACAAGGUAGUUGUUCCUAAUCCUACGGAACCAAUUUCUAUUGAUCCUUGUCUUCGAGCUUUGUACACAGAAGCGACAGAGCUGGUUGGCAUAUAUGGGAAGAGGGAUCAGGAGCUCAUGAGGUUGCUCUCCAUGGAGAGAGAUGAUGCCUCUAACAAUAGAUUGAAGAAGGUCUCCAUUGUUGGAUUUGGAGGGUUGGGCAAGACCACUCUUGCUAGAGCAGUAUAUGACAAGAUUAAAGGUGAUUUUGAUUGUCGGGCAUUUGUUCCCGUCGGUCAGAACCCUGACAUGAAGAAGGUUUUAAGGGAUAUUCUCAUUGAUCUCGGCAACCCUCACUCAGAUCUUGCGAUACUGGAUGCCAAUCAGCUUAUUAAAAUGCUUCAUGAGUUCCUAGAGAACAAAAGGUAUCUCGUCAUAAUUGAUGAUAUAUGGGAUGAAAAAUUGUGGGAAGGCAUCAACUUUGCUUUCUCCAGCAAGAAUAAUCUACGCUGUCGGCUAAUCACCACAACCCGCAUUGUUAGUGUCUCCAAUUCAUGUUGCUCGUCCGCUGAUGAUUCAGUUUAUCAAAUGAAACCUCUUUCUAGUGAUGACUCCCGAAGGCUCUUCCAUAAAAGAAUAUUUCCUGACGAUAGUGGAUGUCCAAAUGAAUAUGAACAAGUGUCUAAAGAUAUAUUGAAGAAAUGUGGUGGGGUACCACUAGCCAUCAUUACUAUUGCUAGUGUUUUGACUAGUGACCAGCAGGUGAAAACAAAGCAUGAGUGGGAUAUUCUGCUCCAGUUCCUUGGCUCUGGACUAACAGAAGAUAACAGUUUAGAGGAGAUGCGGAGAAUACUAUCUUUCAGCUAUUAUAAUCUACCCUCUCAUCUGAAAACUUGUCUACUGUACCUAUGUAUAUAUCCAGAAGAUACCAUGAUUGAUAGAGAUAGACUCAUAUGGAAGUGGGUGGCCGAAGGAUUUGUCCACCAUGGAAAGCAAGGGACCAGCCUGUUUUUGGUCGGAUUGAACUACUUCAACCAGCUCAUUAAUAGAAGUAUGAUCCAGCCAAUAUAUAAUGAUCUAGGCCAGGUAUAUGCUUGUCGUGUACAUGAUAUGGUUUUGGGCCUUCUCUGCAACUUGUCACAUGCAGCAAAGUUUGUCAAGUUAUUGGAUGGCACUCGGUAUAACAUGUCUUCACAAAGUAAUGUUCGUCGUUUGUCCCUUCAAGAUGGAAAUGAAGAUCAGCAAAUCAUGCCUCUCACAAAUUUUGUAAGGUCAAUUACUGUCUUCCCACCUGCUGUUAGUAUCAUGCCAGCUCUAUCAAAGUUUGAAGUUCUGCGUGUACUUGAUCUGUCAGACUGUUAUCUGAAAAGAAGUAGCAGCCUACAGCUUAACCUCAAGGAUGUUGGACACUUAAUUCACCUAAGGUACCUUGGUCUAGCACGUACUGGAAUUAGUGAACUCCCAGCUGAGAUAGGAAACCUGCAGUUUUUGGAGGUGCUGAAUAUUGGAAGUAGUUCUCAGCUAAGUAGAUUGCCGUCGAUUGUUUGCAAGUUGAGAAGAUUACUCUGCCUAAAUGUUUGUCUCUCUGAGGUGGUUCCAGCUGGUGUGUUGCAGAAUCUUACGUCCAUCGAAGUGUUGAAGAAUAUCUUGGUCUGUCUGAACGUUAUUGCACAAGAGCUUGGCAACCUAGUAAGGCUGAGGGAGCUUGUGGUUUCCUUCAAGAAUGGUAGUUUGCAUUUGUAUGAAGGUUUCGUGGAGUCUCUGUGCAACCUACAUCACAUCGAAAUUCUAAGUAUUUAUCGCCAUUCCAGUGAAACAUCUUUUGAGCUGAUGGAUCUCUUGGGAGAACGUUGGGUGCCUCCUGUACAUCUCCGCGAAUUUAUAUCUUGGAUGCCCAGCAAACUCUCUGCACUUCGAAGGUGGAUAAAGAAAGACCCCUCGCAUCUCUCAAACCUCUCCGAGUUAACCCUCUCGCGAGUGAAUGAUGUGCAGCAGGAGGACGUGGAAAUCAUUGGGAGGUUGUUGUCCCUUCGUCGUCUCCGCAUAAAGAGCACCCACCAAACACAACGGUUGUUAGUCAUCCGUGCAGAUGGGUUCUGCUGUAUGGUAGAAUUUAUCUUGUAUUGUGGGUCAGCAGCACAAAUAAUGUUUGAACCAGGAGCUUUGCCGAGGGCGGAAAAAGUUAGGUUCAGCCUUGGCGUGCACGUGGCGAAAGAGGAUGGUAACUAUGGUUUUGACUUGGGCCUGCAGGGGAACCUGCUCUCCCUUCGGAGGGAGGUCUGCGUUUAUUUGUGUUGUGGUGGAGCGAGGGUUGGGGAUGCCAAGGAAGCAGAGGCUGCGGUGAGGCACGCGCUGGACGGCCAUCCCAACCAUCCAUGGAUUGGAAUUGAAAUGAACCCGAAUAUAGCACAAGGUGCUCAUGACGACGAUUUCUGUAAGGACGUGGUGGAGAACUGA